UUGUUCAUCGUUCAGUGGUAGAAUGCUCAACUGCUACGCGGGAAACACGGGUUCGAUUCCCGGCCAAUGUGGAGAAA